GGUGAACGCUGGCGAUGUGCCUAAGACAUGCAAGUCGAACGGCAGCACAGAGGAGCUUGCUCCUUGGGUGGCGAGUGGCGGACGGGUGAGGAAUACAUCGGAAUCUACUCUGUCGUGGGGGAUAACGUAGGGAAACUUACGCUAAUACCGCAUACGACCUACGGGUGAAAGCAGGGGACCUUCCGGCCUUGCGCGAUUGAAUGAGCCGAUGUCGGAUUAGCUAGUUGGCGGGGUAAAGGCCCACCAAGGCGACGAUCCGUAGCUGGUCUGAGAGGAUGAUCAGCCACACUGGAACUGAGACACGGUCCAGACUCCUACGGGAGGCAGCAGUGGGGAAUAUUGGACAAUGGGCGCAAGCCUGAUCCAGCCAUACCGCGUGGGUGAAGAAGGCCUUCGGGUUGUAAAGCCCUUUUGUUGGGAAAGAAAUCCAGCUGGCUAAUACCCGGUUGGGAUGACGGUACCCAAAGAAUAAGCACCGGCUAACUUCGUGCCAGCCGCCGCCGUAA
rnacentral:rRNA from 1 species